rnacentral:misc_RNA from 1 species
AACCCAUUGAAAGGAGGUGAUCCAGUGUCAAGAAAGAUGGUGGAGAAGUGCGUCGGGACAAUCCUGGAGACGCGUGGCUGAGGCAGCCCUUACCACGUGAUAUCAACAGGUUGAGGGCUCUCUAACCGACCCCACCUCCUGAACUUUCGGAAGGCCGCCCCGUGUCGAAGGGCGGCCU